rnacentral:rRNA from 1 species
CCUACGGGGGGCAGCAGUGGGGGAUAUUGCACAAUGGGGGGAACCCUGAUGCAGCGACGCCGCGUGGGUGAAGGAGUAUUUCGGUAUGUAAAGCCCUAUCGGCAGGGAAGAAGCAAGACGGUACCUGACUAAGAAGCCCCGGCUAACUACGUGCCAGCAGCCGCGGUAAUACGUAGGGGGCGAGCGUUAGCCGGAUUCACUGGGUGUAAAGGGAGCGUAGACGGCCAUGCAAGCCAGGGGUGAAAGCCCGGGGCCCAACCCCGGGACUGCCCUUGGAACUGCAUGGCUGGAGUGCGGGAGGGGCAGGCGGAAUGCCUGGUGUAGCGGUGAAAUGCGUAGAUAGCAGGAGGAACACCGGCGGCGAAGGCGGCCUGCUGGACCGCGACUGACGUUGAGGCUCGAAAGCGUGGGGAGCGAACAGGAUUAGAUACCCGGGUAGUC